UGACAAGAUCCAACCUGCUGAUCUUCUGGAGAAAUGGUUGAAUUGGGUGCAGGAAAUUCCCACUUUACAACAUCUCAAGCUGCCUCGUCCCUAUGCACCAGCCACCGCCGAUAUUGCCAGUGCAACCCGUCACAUCCACAUUUUCUGUGAUGCCUCGGAGCGCGCCUAUGGGUCAGUAGCUUACAUGCAGACGACAGAUGACAGUCAACGAGUCUAUGUCUCCUUCGUGUUUGCCAGAUCGAGAGUCGCGCCCCGUAAGCAGAUGUCUAUUCCGCGUCUCGAGCUCAGUGCCGCGCUUACAGGUGCACAGCUGGCUAGAGUGAUCGAGACAGAGCUUGCAGUACCACCUGAGCACAUCACUCUUUGGUCAGACUCCACAACUGUACUGCAUUGGAUCAAAUCAGAAUCCUGCCGUUACAAAGUGUUCGUUGGAACACGCGUCGCAGAAAUCCAGAACCUGACCAAUCCUGUUCAAUGGCGGUAUGUUGAUACUCUAAGCAAUCCAGCUGAUGAUAUAACCCGGGGACUCACUCUGCAAGAAAUGGUACAGGAUCAUCGCUGGAACAAAGGUCCACAUUUCCUCCAUUUGUCUGAGAGGGAGUGGCCCAACAUGCCUUCAUCUGAGGUAGAACCAGACACCACAGAGUUAAGGAAGUCUGCCUUCAUGGGAACUAUGGCCAGCAUCUUGCCAACACAACUUCCGGACCCCAGUAAGUUCUCCAACUGGAAAGAGCUUCUUAAGGAAACUGCUAGCUCCAUUCACGGGGCGGCUGAUGCUAAUACUACAGUACACUUUCCCGCUGCCGAAUUUCUGCAAGCAGAGAAACUGAUGCUACAAAGGGCUCAAGAGGACUGCUUUGCUGAAGAAUUGAGAGCUCUCAAAGCUGGACGUACUCUUCCUUCAGACAGUCGUCUCGCAUCUCUGUCACCAGAAUAUGAAGGAGCCACGGAGCUACUCAGAGUCGGUGGCAGGUUAAGGCAUGCUGAAGGACUAGACCUGGAUACUAUCCAUCCAGUUAUCCUGGACCCAAGCCAUCCCGUGACAAAACUUAUCGUCAAGGAUUUUGAUGAGUCACUACUGCACCCUGGGCCAGAACGAGUUCUUGCUGAGAUCAGACGCAGGUUUUGGAUUAUCCGUGGUAGAGAGGCAAUUCGAAAGCAUCAACAUUCAUGUCUGGAGUGCCGGAGAUGGAGAGCAAAACCCGAUGUACCGAAGAUGGCAGAUUACCCACCAGCUCGGCUACGACUCACUAAGCCACCGUUCUAUUCAACCGGAGUUGAUUGCUUUGGACCUUUCCAAGUGAGGAUCGGUCGCCGAACUGAAAAAAGGUGGGGCAUUGUCUACAAAUGCAUGACAACUCGCUCGGUGCAUCUGGAUCUAUUAGAAAGCCUUGAUACCGAUGCUUUCCUGCUGUCACUGAGAAGAUUCAUCUCUCGACGUGGCAGACCGUUCGAACUCCUCAUGGACAAUGGUACCAACUUUGUCGGUGGAGAGAGAGAGCUACGUGAAGCCGUUGCUGCCAUGGCACCUCAGUGGAGAGAGCAACUUGCUGAACAGCAGAUAUCCUUCCGAUUCAAUCCUCCAAGUGCGCCGCACUUUGGAGGCACGUGGGAGAGGGAAGUGAAAUCCAUCAAGACUGCACUUCGCGUUGUCCUUAAAGACCAGACUGUUGCUGAACCAGUCCUGAUGACAAUCCUAGUGGAGGUCGAGGGCAUAAUGAAUGCGAAACCCUUAGGCUACUUGUCAUCAGAUGCCUCUGAUCCAGACCCGGUCACGCCUAACCUCCUCCUCAUGGGCCGUCAUGACUCGUCACUUCCUCAAGCAGUUUACAAUCCCAGUGACCUCGGGAGAAGACGUUGGAGGCAUAGCCAAGCCAUCGCCGAUCGCUUCUGGUCAUCCUUCAUCAGUCACUACCUACCAGGGCUACAAGAGCGCAGUAAGUGGAGGAAAGACGGUAAGGCACUCUCCAUAGGCGAUGUUGUUUUAAUCGUGGAUUCCCAACUCCCCCGAGCGUCAUGGCCCGUAGGACGGAUUACCCAGACUCAUCCAGGAGCAGAUGGAUGCGUACGGACUAUCAGUGUUCAAGUGAAGGACCGCACCUACAUUCGUCCAGUCGCCCGGCUCAUCCUGCUCCCAGCUCUGGAGGACAAGGACGAAGAAGAGACCACCAAAUAGACUUUCUCCUACUCUUUCAACUGCCAUGCGGACAGUUGGGGGCGGCCUUGUCUGAAAGCCUAUUUGUUCAGCGCUGAAGUUUUCUAAGCGCGUGAACGCUCCAUCACGUGAACUGUGCCUGGACAGGAAAAUGCAGCGUGCUGCUCAGUUGUUCGCGCUCAGGGAUGACGAGAGAAGACUCAGAGACCCUUUUCUUUACUUUCGUGUGCGUUUAUGAAAAGCAAACCACAUACACACUUAUACGAACUUGUAUACUGGCAUCCUGAUCUUGAAAAUAAAGCUGAUAAAGGAUUCUCUGGCCGGAAUCUUUCUGUAGUGCUCCCAUCCUAAAACGAACCCCUAGUCCAUACUUUACAGAGGG
ensembl:lncRNA